UGGGGAAUCUUGCACAAUGGGCGCAAGCCUGAUGCAGCAACGCCGCGUGCGGGAAGAAGGCCCUAGGGUUGUAAACCCCUUUCAGGAGGGAAGAAAUUGACGGUACCUCCAGAAGAAGCCCCGGCCAAGUACGUGCCAGCAGCCGCGGUAAUACGUAGGGGGCAAGCGUUGUCCGGAAUUAUUGGGCGUAAAGAGCUCGUAGGCGGCUCAGCAAGUCGGCUGUGAAAUCCCGAGGCUCAACCUCGGAACUGCAGUCGAUACUGCUGUGGCUAGAGUCUGGUAGAGGAGAAUGGAAUUCCCAGUGUAGCGGUGAAAUGCGCAGAUAUUGGGAGGAACACCAGUAGCGAAGGCGGUUCUCUGGGCCAGCACUGACGCUGAGGAGCGAAAGCGUGGGUAGCAAACAGGAUUAGAUACCCGCGUAGUCC
rnacentral:rRNA from 1 species